rnacentral:tRNA from 1 species
GGUAGCUCAGUUGGUAGAGCGGUUGACUGUUAAUCAACUUGUCGCUGGUUCGAGUCCGGCC